GUGGCAGGAAAGUGGAAACAUUUCAUCCAACAUGAAGCCUCCUGGACUCCCUCUUCUGGACAUGAUAGAAAUUGCAGGCAUUAGUGCUCUAAUGAGGGUGCAUCAUUUCCACAUGCGGUCUUUGGAGAACAGGGUGACCGUGGCUGCAUCAGUGCCCUGUACAGUAUGAGGCAAUUCAUAUCAAAUAUGUUGUUUCAUUUUAUUCUAUUCAGUUUUUCGUACCUUGCAUCUUUGUACAUCUCCAGAUUCACUGUUAUUUUCUUGCGCAACAUUACAGGACUGAUCUGUUGUCAAUUACAGGAGAAACCUAAUGACUUUGGGAGCACUUUAGACUGCAACUACAGCUGCUGCUGAUUCAUGCUUGUCUUGCUUGGAUAUCAACCGGUAAAUUUAAAAUCCGAGGGUCACAUGUGGUUGUUGACAUAAACCUUGUAUCAUCAUUUCACAUGUGUGCUCUGACGUUUACCAUAAACUCCUGACUUCCAGCACAUUACAUUUUUAUAUUCUAUUUUGCGUAUUGCAUUGUCCUUCACUAAAAUCCUAUACACCACCUUCUAUUUGUCACUUUUCUCGAAUGUAUGUAAUAAUAAUGUUCCCAGACUCUCUAAAAGCUGAAAAAUCCAAGUCGCUUGUCACAAAUACGUUGUUUCUCUAAUGUGCUGUGUCUCUAUGUUUAAGAAUGCUGGCUCCAUUAUGGAGGAGUCUGGAAAGGGCUAGUCAAGGUUUUCUUUCAGACACAGUGUGAUAUUGUUUUCUGCCAAACCAGAAAUCAAGGCCUUGAACAGGCCUUCUUUAUGUCAGGGAUAGGGGUAGUGUAUUUUCUCUGACAGUUGCUUCUUUUAAGAUUAAUAGCCUUAUGAAAACCGGGUGUCCUCUAAAUGAGGCUCAAUAUCAGUCAGUGAGACCUCCGCAAGAGAAAUUUGGGCCAGAAUAUUAAUGUCACACAAAAAAAAUGUGUGUGCAGACAUCAAGGUUUUUACUACCUUGACAACAAGCAUUCUCAAUAACAAUGCUGUAGUUCCACUUUUAGUCAUAUUUGAACAAGAAAGUGUUUUUAUUGAUGCUGAAAUUGGACAAUCUGGUGUAGCACACAUCUUUAUUCAUAAAUAAAUUUAUAAUAAAUCAAUACAUUUUAUUUUUUUCAUCUCCAUAAGACCAUUAUUUGCAAACAGUUAGGUAUGGAAGAACCUAUAAGUAUUGACCCUAACCGCAUCGAACAUUUUGGUAUAAACUAGAACAGAGUCUGAAUAUCUCAGGUCCAGUAUCAUGACCUCUGACCUAAAUGCCUAAAUAAAGUAGUACCAACUGAAGUCUGUCGGUAGUACCAGGUACUGAUUCAAGUAACAUCAAACCAUACUUGCCAACCCUCCCGGAUUUUCCGGGAGACUCCCGGAAUUCAGUGCCUCUCCCGAAAACCUCCCGGUUUAAAUUUUCUCCUGAAAAUCUCCCAAAAUUCAGGCGGAGCUGGAGGCCACGCCUCCUCCAGCUCCAUGCGGACCUGAAUGAAGUGUCGACAGCCUGUUUUCACAUCCGCUUUCCCACAACAGCAUGUCUGCCCAAUGAUGUUAUGAGUGAAGUGAAGUGAAGUGAAUUAUAUUUAUAUAGCGCUUUUUCUCUAGUGACUCAAAGCGCUUUACAUAGUGAAACCCAAUAUCUAAGUUACAUUCAAACCAGUGUGGGUGGCACUGGGAGCAGGUGGGUAAAGUGUCUUGCCCAAGGACACAACAACAGUGACUAGGAUGGCGGAAGCGGGAAUCAAACCUGCAACCCUCAAAUUGCUGGCAUUGCCACUCUACCAACCGAGCUAAACCGCCCGUUAUAACUGUAGAAUGAUCGAGGGCGAGUUUUUGGUUUCUUAUGUGGGUUUAUUGUUAGGCAUUUUCAUUAAUGUCUUCCCAGCGCGGUAACAACACAUAACAACUGCAGUCCGUUUUCGUCUACCCUAAAGCCGUAAACAGCAAUGUUGUGACACUCUUAAACAGAACAAUACUGCCAUCUACUGUACAUGCAUAUGGUUAGAAAAACAAGGAUGGACAAUUCAACCCUUAACUCAACAAUGAGUAGAUGAGUGUUAUGUGUGUGUAAAUGUAAAUAAAUGAACACUGAAAUUUAAGUAUUUAUUUUAUUUAAAUAGGUUGUACUUGUAUAGCGCUUUUCUACCUUCAAGGUACUCAAAGCGCUUUGACACUACUUCCACAUUUACCCAUUCACACACACAUUCACACACUGAUGGAGGGAG